AACCAAGGUCAAGGUCACAGGGGCCUGAACAUUGAAAACCAUUUCCGAUCAAUAACGAGAGAACCACUUGACCCAGAAUGUUGAAACUUCAUAGGAUGAUUGGUCAUGUAGGGUAGAUGACCCCUAUUGAUUUUGGGGUCACUCCGUCAAAGGUCAAGGUCACAGGGGCCUGAACAUUGAAAACCAUUUCCAAUCAAUAACUAGAGAACCACUUGACCCAGAAUGUUGAAACUUCAUAGGAUGAUUGGUCAUAAAGAGUAAUUGACCCCUAUUGAUUUUGGGGUCACUCCAUCAAAGGUCAAGGUCACAGGGGCCUGAAUAUUGAAAACCAUUUCCGAUCAAUAGCUAGAGAACCACUUGACCCAGAAUGUUGAAACUUCAUAGCAUGAUUGUACAUGCAAAGUAGAUGACCCCUAUCGAUUUUGGGGUCACUCCAUUAAAGGUCAAGGUCACAGGGGCCUGAACAUUGAAAACCAUUUCCGGUCAAUAACUUGAGAACCACUUGACCCAGAAUGUUGAAAUUUAAUAGGAUGAUUGGUCAUGCAGAUUAGAUGACCCCUAACGAUUUUGGGGUCACUCUGUGAAAGGUCAAGGUCACAGGGGCCCGAACAUUGAAAACCAUUUCCGGUCAGUAACUUGAGAACCACUUGACCCAGAAUGAUGAAACUUCAUAGGAUGAUUGGUCAUGCAGAGUAGAUGACCCGUUUGGCGAUUUUAGGGUCACUCUGUUAAAGGUCAAGGCCACAGGGGCCUGAACAUGGAAAACCAUUUCCAAUCAAUAACUUGAGAACCUCUCGACCCAGAAUGUUGAAACUUCAUAGGAUGAUUGUUCAUGCAGAGUAAAUGACCCCUAUUGUUUUUGGGGUCACUCCGUUAAAGGUCAAGGUCACAGGGGCCUGAACAUUGAUAACCAGUUCCGAUCAAUAACUUGAGAACCACUUGACCCAGAAUGUUGAAACUUCAUAGGAUGAUUGAACAUGCAGAGUAGAUGACCCCUAUUGAUUUUGGGGUCAGUCUAUUAAAGGUCAAGGUCACAAUGGCCUGUUCAUGUAAAAUCCAUGGGUGAAAGUUUUCCGUAUUAUGACGGAAUUCCGUAUUUUGGACCUGCCCAAAGGUCAUUUUUCCAAAUCGUAUAAAUCCGAUGAGAUUUUCGGUGGGGGGGUGGGGAUCAAGUCAACUCGUCCCCUAGUCAUUGUUCCAGUGCGGUCGUCUAUCAAUGGCAAAAUAAUGACAUUCAUAUUUUCCAGGAUGCUAAAAAUAGCGCUGAUUGCAACAAUUGCAUCAUCCUUUUCCGUUAGGAAUACCGUAUGUAACAUUAUUCGAUAGCCGAAAAUAACCGAACGCUGGCGAUUAUUCAUCCAAAAAAUAGACUGUAUAUCGGUUAUUUCCGCUGAUAAGACUGAAGAUUCUAUUUGAAAUUUCCGUGUGUAACCGUUUGUAACCGAUGGUUAACGAAUCAUUUCAGCACGCGUGAUACUUUAUGACCUCCUUUUACGACAACCAAAAACCUGUUCAUUACUGCUACUCGGAGGCAGAAAUUUCGAAUGUUCACAAUAUUGAAGAAAUUGACCGAUCUGACCAUCAUGAAGUUUCUACCAACGGGUUAAAACAUCAAGGAGAUUGAGAAACAAGCCAAGAACAAAAUUCAACGGCGAUGGCAGUUGUCCGAGUCAGAUUCUGAGGGGUUGAAAUGGUUCGAUAGUGAUUGAUAGAUAGAUAUGCUGUGUUGUAUAUUGCACAAACGAUUAAUUACAAAUCCAAUGGAAAGAAAGGCAUCAGACUUCACUGCGAGGACGCCAAACACCAGAAAAAAACACUCGAGUUGUGAAAACGGGGAAUGAGGUUCUGCCGGGUUCUUCUAAUGGUACUAAGAACACUGAAUCUAUGCAAGACAGGGUGGAUAAACAACACGCCAUAACCAGUGCCACAUAGUGGCACAUACGUAAACACACAUAGCAUUGCCAAAAGAUAGAAGGAUGACCUAAAGAAAAAUCUUAAAGGACAGAUCUUACCACUGUAUACCAGUGAGGCAACAAACAAUAACAAUGAUAAGAAUUUGAAUGUAAUCGCAUUGUAUAUUGUGAAAUAGUGUGGAAAUAAUAAAAUUACAAAUUAAUUUUUGAAAAAUAA